UCUAUAUUCACUAAGGUUAAAGUAUUAAUUUAUAAAAUUAAUACUUUAACUUUAAUUAUAAAAUAUGAAU
rnacentral:tRNA from 1 species